CCAUAUCCGCCGAUUCAAGAAGCCGUUUCAGCCGCCCGUGAUUCUCCCCACCUUCCGCAUGCGUUCCCCUCUUCCGUGAUCCGGCGAUCCCGCACCGCGUCCCCCUCUUCCGGAUUCGAGAGCCCCUGCAUCGCGUCCCCUCCUAGCUCAGCCUCCUUCGCAUGAUCCGCUCGUCCGCGUCACUGCCAGCAGCCCAAGUUCCCAUCCGUACUCAUCUUCCACGGAUCAAGCCUCCACAUCCAAGCAAUCCCACAAAUCAAGCUCCCGAGUCCGCCUCCUUUGAAGCCAGUGAUGCAUCCCACGCUUCAAGCCUCCGCGUCUGCAAGCACCAUGAUCCAAGCACCCAGCGGCUCAUCCGAGAUCGGCUCCUCCUUCCGUUUCCAAAUCCCAGCCCCCAAGCAAUCGGAUCCCCAUCGAUCAAGCAUCUGUUACCCCUCCAUCAAAGGAUUCGUCGCUGUCCAUCAGGGGGUGGGCGACCUAUUUAAG
rnacentral:lncRNA from 1 species